ACUUAAGGAGCAAUCACACUGUUACGUCAGUGUUAAUCUUAUUACAGUGAUGAGCUUCCACUUCAUGGUCCGUGUUUUUGAAAUUCUGUGAUAUUUAAAGAAGUUCUGAGUUUGAGCCAUCAGAUGCCUUUUUCCCUGUUUUCACAAGUUCCUAUAUGAUUUGAAUUCUAAAUGCCUUAUUUAUUCUUGCCUGCCAAUGCAGAAGAUGACACAGACCCGAACAGGAUUCCGAAGAGUGUGGGGAUCCAGAGAGCACAUCGUACACCCAACCUGCUAAUGCAGAAGACACACGCCUGAAAAGGAUCCUGAAGAGCGAGGGGAUCCAUAGUGCACGUCGUACACCUAACAUGAAGAUUAACGACGGAACCUUUGCACCAAGACGGCAAGAAGCAUGACAAAGGGAACACCUGCCAAACCAAAGGCAUUCAUUCAUCGAUCUUCUUAAAUACUCGAGUUCAAUGAUGAAUAAAUUGGUUGGUUGAAACAAAUGAGUCAGACCUCUCAUUCAAAGUUUUUGAUUCACAAGACUUAUUUAUUUCACAUAAGCUAACAAAGAUUGUAAUCUGUCUGCGCUGUAAGGACACAGGGUACAGAGGAAUAUCAAGCACACAGGUUGAGCAGCAUUUGUAAUUAUAGGAUUCAUUAGAAAAGAUGGCUUUUCAGGCAGGCCUACAACAUAGCCUUGAGAAUUUAGUGUAUAGUUAAUUUCACUUGGCAUGUAGGUGUGUACACUAAAUAUACAACUAUUGAUUGCACAAUUUUAAAACUCA